UGGGGAAUAUUGCGCAAUGGGGGGAACCCUGGCGCAGCCAUGCCGCGUGAAUGAAGAAGGCCUUCGGGUUGUAAAGUUCUUUCGGUAUUGAGGAAGGUUGAUGUGUUAAUAGCACAUCAAAUUGACGUUAAAUACAGAAGAAGCACCGGCUAACUCCGUGCCAGCAGCCGCGGUAAUACGGAGGGUGCGAGCGUUAAUCGGAAUAACUGGGCGUAAAGGGCACGCAGGCGGUUAUUUAAGUGAGGUGUGAAAGCCCCGGGCUUAACCUGGGAAUUGCACUUCAGACUGGGUAACUAGAGUACUUUAGGGAGGGGUAGAAUUCCACGUGUAGCGGUGAAAUGCGUAGAGAUGUGGAGGAAUACCGAAGGCGAAGGCAGCCCCUUGGGAAUGUACUGACGCUCAUGUGCGAAAGCGUGGGGAGCAAACAGGAUUAGAUACCCUGGUAGUCCACGCUGUAAACGCUGUCGAUUUGGGGGUUGGGGUUUAACUCUGGCGCCCGUAGCUAACGUGAUAAAUCGACCGCCUGGGGAGUACGGCCGCAAGGUUA
rnacentral:rRNA from 1 species